UACGGAGGGUGCAAGCGUUACUCGGAAUCACUGGGCGUAAAGGGUGCGUAGGCUGACUUUUAAGUCAGGCGUGAAAUCCAAUGGCUUAACCAUUGAACUGCGCUUGAAACUGGGAGUCUAGAGUUCAGAAGGGGCAGAUGGAAUUAGUGGUGUAGGGGUAAAAUCCGUAGAUAUCACUAGGAAUAUCAAAAGCGAAGGCGAUCUGCUGGGAUGAUACUGACGCUGAGGCACGAAAGCGUGGGGAGCAAACAGGAUUAGAUACCCUGGUAGUCCACGCCCUAAACGAUGAAUGCUAGUCGUCGGGGUACUCGUUACUUCGGUGAUGCACUUAACAGAUUAAGCAUUCCGCCUGGGGAGUACGGUCGCAAGAUUAAAACUCAAAGGAAUAGACGGGGACCCGCACAAGUGGUGGAGCAUGUGGUUUAAUUCGAAGAUACACGAAGAACCUUACCUGGCCUUGACAUGGUAGGAACCCUUAAGAGAUUAGGGGGUGCUAGCUUGCUAGAACCUACACACAGGUGCUGCACGGCUGUCGUCAGCUCGUGUCGUGAGAUGUUGGGUUAAGUCCCGCAACGAGCGCAACCCUCGUCGUUAGUUGCUAACAGUUCGGCUGAGCACUCUAACGAGACUGCCUUCGCAAGGAGGAGGAAGGUGAGGACGACGUCAAGUCAUCAUGGCCCUUACGGCCAGGGCUACACACGUGCUACAAUGGGGCGUACAAAGAGCUGCAAUACCGCGAGGUGGAGCCAAUCUCUUAAAGCGUCUCUCAGUUCGGAUUGUUCUCUGCAACUCGAGAACAUGAAGCUGGAAUCACUAGUAAUCGUAGAUCAGCUAUGCUACGGUGAAUACGUUCCCGGGUCU
rnacentral:rRNA from 1 species